AUUAGACAGUCCAGUUUAAAUUACUUUUAUAGUACAAACUGGAUCUUGCUGGUUAUUUGUCUAAAACAUUCAACAUGCUUUCCUUAAACAAAAUUCAAAAGAGUUAAACCUGGAGAAAUUAUAAUGUCAACUUAACAAAUCUAGACAUUUUCAAAAUAUACCAAUUUUACCUAGGUCUUUUACUUGUCGUUGAAUUUAAAGUUUUAUUCAAAAUCGUUUUAAAUGGAUGUAAAUCAAAACAAAAUCAAAUUUAGAAAAAUCAUUAUAAUCCCACCUGAGUACUUUUACUGAUUAGUGAUAACUUUAAUCAAUAACAGAUUCUUCAAAACAUUUCUUAAAACAUUCUUGCUCCAUUAAAUUAAUGCUCUGAAAAUGGCUAACACAAUAAUAUUUUUAAUUUCUAUAAUUGUUUUCCCAAGUUAAUUUACCAAAAUAUGCUUCAUUAAUCGCUAUAAAUUUGUUAUCUAUCGUUUCAAAAUACUUUAGCCCAUUGUCAGAACAUCCUUCAAUGGAGAACGACUCAAAUCCAUUCAAAAGAAACAUAUUUCACCAGACCAUAUCUUUCCUUUCACUUUUUUAUGUGUAACACAGAUCAAACAUGUUCUUCAAAUAAAAAAUUUUAUUUAAGUAAUAUAAAAGAUAAACCUAUAACAUAUUCUCCCCCCAGAUGAUGCAUUACCUGCUAAUGCAUCACAAUUUCUACUACUUUAAAUAACGAUGUUGAUGAAACAGAUUUAUGAUGUUCCCUGAGAAAUUCUACCAAAGUCAAUGCUGCCUUUUUCCCAAAAGGUAAACUCGUCAAAACAAUUUAUUUUAGCAUGCUUUAAAUCUUCAAGAUUACUAUUUUCCCAAAACACUUCACGUUACAGUUUUAAAGCUCCUUAUCUCAUUUUACUCUUAUGAUUGUCAGAUAAUUCAUUUUACAAACUCCUCAAAAAUUUUCACCAGUGUUUGACAAAGCGUGUUUACCAAUUAAGACUCUGUGAAGGUUUUGCAUAAACCAGCCAGAGAGACGUUGAAGAAA